GAAUAUUGUACAAUGAGCGAAAGCCUGAUCCAGCCAUGCCGCGUGUGUGAAGAAGGUCUUCGGAUUGUAAAGCACUUUAAGUUGGGAGGAAGGGCAGUAAGCGAAUACCUUGCUGUUUUGAUGUUACCGACAGAAUAAUCAACGGCUAACUCUGAGCCAGCACCCGCGGUAAUACAGAGGGUGCAAGCUUUAAUCGGAAUUACUGGGCGUAAAGCGCGCGUAGGUGGUUAGUUAAGUUGGAUGUGAAAGCCCCGGGCUCAACCUGGGAACUGCAUCCAAAACUGGCGAGCUAGAGUAGGGCAGAGGGUGGUGGAAUUUCCUGUGUAGCGGUGAAAUGCGUAGAUAUAGGAAGGAACACCAGUGGCGAAGGCGACCACCUGGGCUCAUACUGACACUGAGGUGCGAAAGCGUGGGGAGCAAACAG
rnacentral:rRNA from 1 species